rnacentral:rRNA from 1 species
GACGAACCGUGCAACCGUUGUUCGGAAUCACUGGGCUUAAAGGGCGCGUAGGCGGGCCAGCCAGUCUGUGGUGAAAGCCUCCAGCUUAACUGGAGAAGUGCCGUGGAUACUGCUGGCCUCGAGGAGGGUAGGGGCAUCUGGAACGGUCGGUGGAGCGGUGAAAUGCGUUGAUAUCGACCGGAACUCCGGUGGCGAAGGCGAGGUGCUGGGCCCUUUCUGACGCUGAUGCGCGAAAGCCAGGGGAGCAAACGGG